GCAUAUACUUUCUGCUCCCUGGCUCCUUCAGCUGUACUCACUCUUUGUUAAGUCCCACAAUUACCAUUGUUCCUGGCCCGGACUUCAAUCCAGCCUCCCACAUUAUUCCUGAUACCACACCUGACCCCCAUGACUGUAUCUCUCUGAUCCAACUGACAUUCACCCCAUUUCCCCAUAUUUCCUUCUUUCCUGUUCCUCACCCUGAUCACGCUUGAUUUAUUGAUGGCAGUUCCACCAGGCCUAAUCGCCACACACCAGCAAAGGCAGGCUAUGCUAUAGUACAAGCCACUAGCCCGCCUCUUAGAACCUCUCAUUUCCUUUCCAUCAUGGAAAUCUAUCCUCAAGGAAAUAACUUCUCAGUGUUCCAUCUGCUAUUCUACUACUCCUCAGGGAUUAUUCAGGCCCCCUCCCUUCCCUACACAUCAAGCUCGAGGAUUUGCCCCACCCAGGA
rnacentral:lncRNA from 10 species